AUAUAAGUUGUUAAUGCUUCUAGAUUUAAAAGAGUACCCAAACACCAGUAACCCCAUACUGAAGCCACAAAGGGUCCAUUUAAUAGCAUUAUUAUAUUUUUGGCUGAUAAAUUUUCAGUGGCCGAAAAUUUGCUACAUCUCUAAUAUCAAUUAUUUGUGAGCACAAUUAAGUGCACAGCAUGCCAUAUCAUCUGAUAAUUGUAUGAAAUCAUUCCAAAAGGCAAGUGACUGUGUAUAGCCCCAUAAAACGAAACAAAAAUAGGAUAUAUGCUGCGGCUAAUCAGCUGGAAUGACGUGACUGUGACUAGCGAGACCUAGCUGUCACUCACUUGAUUAUGAAAUGAAUGAGUUAUAAAAAAAAAAUAAAAAAAUCUGGGGAUGUUUGGUUUCAUCUUUGACCUAAAAACCUUGAGUGGUUUAAGGUAACCACUUUUGUAGGAAAGUCAACUAGUUGGGUUGGAGUGUACGAAUUCAUACAAGUAAACUCAGAAAAUAGUUUCAUUUUUCAAUGACAGGAGGUUGAUGAUGCAUGAAUGAGCUUAAGCCAUUUAAACUUUCUACAAAACAAAGUUAUUGUCUCAUUUUUUUCAGUGAUGGUUCAGAUAUUAUUAAAGAUAUUGUAUUUAAAUCAAUGAGGUUUUAAAUCAUUUAGUUUACAAAAUGCACUGCAACCAUAUUUCUGUAAUUUCUAAAUCCCUAUGGUGGAACUGCCUUGAUGUAUAUCUUGAUGUUAUUUAAGAGUCUAUAUUUUGAAAUCAUAUUUUGUCUACUGUAAUAUUGAUCAUGUAAUUAAAGGCUUUUGUUUGCUCUGAAAAUAUGCUUGGUGAUACUCUUGGUGAUAUGUCUCUAUUAGGGUGUUUUGUACAAUAUUUUUUAAUACCAGAAGGUUCGAUUUUGUAAUUGAUUAUUAGUCAAGAAAUCGGAAAUAUUUACCCACAGCUACAUCUACAGUACCAAUCUUUGACCAAUAUUUGUAUUUUAUUUUAUUCGGAAAUUAUAUAAUAUUGUCUCCAGUUGCCUUCAUUCACACAUAAAAAUCUCCUAAUGUGUAUUUUAAUAUUACAUGUUCUUACUAUGUAAACAUAUUUGUUUACUAAUCUGAUUGUUUGGCAAGAUGAUAAAAAUGAACAUCCAGUUUACAUUCA
rnacentral:lncRNA from 1 species